UACAGAGAGUGCAAACGUUGUUCGGAAUUACUGGGCUUAAAGCGCACGUAGGCGGCGCCGCAAGUGUGGGGUGAAAGCCCACGGCUUACCCGUGGAAUUGCCUGGCAGACUGCGGUGCUAGAGGAUGGUAGGGGAGAGCGGAACUCCUGGUGGAGCGGUGAAAUGCGUAGAUAUCAGGAGGAACACCGGUGGCGAAGGCGGCUCUCUGGUCCAUGACUGACGCUGAGGUGCGAAAGCUAGGGGAGCAAACGGG
rnacentral:rRNA from 1 species